rnacentral:rRNA from 1 species
CCUACGGGCUGCAGCAGUGGGGAAUAUUGCACAAUGGGCGCAAGCCUGAUGCAGCCAUGCCGCGUGUAUGAAGAAGGCCUUCGGGUUGUAAAGUACUUUCAGCGGGGAGGAAGGUGUUGUGGUUAAUAACCGCAGCAAUUGACGCUACCCGCAGAAGAAGCACCGGCUAACUCCGUGCCAGCAGCCGCGGUAAUACGGAGGGUGCAAGCGUUAAUCGGAAUUACUGGGCGUAAAGCGCACGCAGGCGGUCUGUCAAGUCGGAUGUGAAAUCCCCGGGCUCAACCCGGGAACUGCAUCCGAAACUGGCAGGCUUGAGUCUUGUAGAGGGGGGUAGAAUUCCAGGUGUAGCGGUGAAAUGCGUAGAGAUCUGGAGGAAUACCGGUGGCGAAGGCGGCCCCCUGGACAAAGACUGACGCUCAGGUGCGAAAGCGUGGGGAGCAAACAGGAUUAGAUACCCCAGUAGUC